GCGGAUCCGCGCUCCAGCAAAGACCUUUCUAUGACUUGACCUCGGAUUAGU
rnacentral:rRNA from 1 species